rnacentral:rRNA from 1 species
AGUGAACGCUGGCGGUAGGCCUAACACAUGCAAGUCGAACGGCAGCACAGUAAGAGCUUGCUCUUACGGGUGGCGAGUGGCGGACGGGUGAGGAAUUCAUCGGAAUCUACUUUUUCGUGGGGGAUAACGUAGGGAAACUUACGCUAAUACCGCAUACGACCUACGGGUGAAAGCAGGGGAUCUUCGGACCUUGCGCGAUUGAAUGAGCCGAUGUCGGAUUAGCUAGUUGGCGGGGUAAAGGCCCACCAAGGCGACGAUCCGUAGCUGGUCUGAGAGGACGAUCAGCCACACUGGAACUGAGACACGGUCCAGACUCCUACGGGAGGCAGCAGUGGGGAAUAUUGGACAAUGGGCGCAAGCCUGAUCCAGCCAUACCGCGUGGGUGAAGAAGGCCUUCGGGUUGUAAAGCCCUUUUGUUGGGAAAGAAAAGCAGCAGGUUAAUACCCCGCUGUUCUGACGGUACCCAAAGAAUAAGCACCGGCUAACUUCGUG